GAUGAACGCUGGCGGCGUGCUUAACACAUGCAAGUCGAACGGAGUUUAUACGGAAGGAGUCUUCGGGCAACGGAAGUAUAAACUUAGUGGCGGACGGGUGAGUAACGCGUGGGUAACCUACCCUAUACAGGAGGAUAACAGUAAGAAAUUAUUGCUAAAACUGCAUAAGAUUACGAGUUCGCAUGAACAAGUGAUAAAAACUUUAGUGGUAUAGGAUGGGCCCGCAUCUGAUUAGGUAGUUGGUGAGGUAGAGGCUCACCAAGCCGACGAUCGGUAGCCGAUCUGAGAGGAUGACCGGCCACAUUGGGACUGAGACACGGCCCAAACUCCUACGGGAGGCAGCAGUGGGGAAUAUUGGACAAUGGGGGCAACCCUGAUCCAGCGACGCCGCGUGAGUGAAGAAGUAUUUCGGUAUGUAAAGCUCUAUCGAUAACGGAAGAAGAUGACAAGCUGUAAGAAGAGCCCC
rnacentral:rRNA from 1 species